rnacentral:rRNA from 1 species
CCCACCAUGCAUUGUCCCCGAUCCAGAUAAUGGACCUAGGUUAGAACCCCAACCAUACCAGGGUGGUAUUUCAAGGGUGGCUCCACUCGAACUAGCGUCCAAGCUUCAAAGCCUCCCACCUAUCCUACACAGGUAGGAUCAGAGUUCAAUGCAAAGCUGUAGUAAAGGUGCACGGGGUCUUUCCGUCUGGCCGCGGGUACACUACAUCUUAACAGCAAUUUCAAUUUCACUGAGUCUCGGGUGGAGACAGUGUGGCCCUCGUUACGCCAUUCGUGCAGGUCGGAACUUACCCGACAAGGAAUUUCGCUACCUUAGGACCGUUAUAGUUACGGCCGCCGUUUACUUGGGCUUCAAUCAAAAGCUUCGGACGAAUCCUAACCUCAUCAAUUAACCUUCAAGCACCGGGCAGGCGUCACACCCUAUACGUCCACUUACGUGUUUGCAGAGUGCUGUGUUUUUAAUAAACAGUCGGAGCCACCUGGUAUCUUCAACUCUUACCAGCUCAUUUAGCAAGUAAAAUCACCGGCAAGAGCACACCUUCUCCCGAAGUUACGGUGUCAUUUUGCCUAGUUCCUUCACCCGAGUUCUCUCAAGCGCCUUAGAAUUCUCAUCUCGUCCACCUGUGUCGGUUUGGGGUACGGUUUCACAUAACCUGAAGCUUAGAGGAUUUUCCUGGAAGCAUGGUAUCACGCACUUCUCCCAAAAGAGGGAUCGUUAUCACGCCUUGAGCUUUAGAACUAAAUCUAAGGUUCCCGGAUUUUCCUAAGAACCUACUCUACACGCUUGAACUUGGACAACCAUCGCCAAGCUACGUUAACCUUCUCCGUCUUCCCAUCGCAGUUAUAUGAAGUAUGGGAAUAUUAACCCAUUUCCCAUCGACUACGCAUUUCUGCCUCGCCUUAGGGACCGACUAACCCUACGCCGAUUAACGUUGCGUAGGAAACCUUGGACUUCUGGCGAGGGGGUUUUUCACCCCCUUUAUCGUUACUCAUGUCAGCAUUCGCACUUCUGAUACCUCCAGCAAACCUCACAGUUCACCUUCAACGGCUUACAGAACGCUCUCCUACCAUCGCAAUAAAUUGCGAUCCGUAGCUUCGGUAUGUAGUUUUAGCCCCGUUAAAUCUUCCGCGCAAACCGACUCGACCAGUGAGCUAUUACGCACUCUUUAAAGGAAUGGCUGCUUCUAAGCCAACCUCCUGGCUGUCUGGGCCUUUUCACAUCGUUUCCCACUUAACUACAAUUUUGGGACCUUAGCUGACGGUCUGGGUUGUUUCCCUUUCCACUACGGACGUUAGCACCCGCAGUGUGUCUCCCAUGCUCAUACUUGUCGGUAUUCGGAGUUUGCAAUGGUUUGCUAAGCCUUGACGACCCGCUAGCCAUAACAGCGCUCUACCCCCGACAGUAAUACAUGAGGCUCUACCUAAAUAGAUUUCGGAGAGAACCAGCUAUCUCCGGGUUUGUUUGGCCUUUCACCCCUAUCCACAGCUCAUCCCCUCAUUUUUCAACAUAAGUGGGUUCGCGCCUCCAGUUAGUUUUACCUAACCUUCACACUGGCCAUGGAUAGAUCACCCGGUUUCGGGUCUACUCCCAGCAACUAAACGCCCAUUUAAGACUCGGUUUCCCUACGGCUCCCCUAUUGGUUAACCUUGCUACUGAGAAGUAAGUCGCUGACCCAUUAUACAAAAGGUACGCAGUCACGAAAUAAAUCCGCUCCUACUGCUUGUAUGCAUACGAUUUCAGGUUCUAUUUCACUCCCCUCCCGGGGUUCUUUUCGCCUUUCCCUCACGGUACUUGUUCACUAUCGGUCAUUAGAGAGUAUUUAGCCUUGGA